UACGAAGGGGGCUAGCGUUGCUCGGAAUCACUGGGCGUAAAGCGCACGUAGGCGGCUUUUUAAGUCAGGGGUGAAAUCCUGGAGCUCAACUCCAGAACUGCCUUUGAUACUGGGGAGCUCGAGUCCGGAAGAGGUGAGUGGAACUCCGAGUGUAGAGGUGAAAUUCGUAGAUAUUCGGAGGAACACCAGUGGCGAAGGCGGCUCACUGGUCCGGUACUGACGCUGAGGUGCGAAAGCGUGGGGAGCAAACAGG
rnacentral:rRNA from 1 species